GUAACAAGUGUGCUAUAAAGAUGUACAUGUUCAUUUUGUUUGUUGCUGAACAUGUAUAGAACACGUUUCAGCAGUCUGGAAAGCGUGGGAGCAGGUAUUUGGAAUAUGUCUACAAGGCAGAGUUGAUUCGUCAAGCAUUACAUUGGCCCUGUCAUACUUGACCUACUAGAAAACAGAUUAUCGGAAUCGCUGACUCAGACAGAUCAACUUUUUGAGCAUGGAUCAAGUGCAGAUAGAUCUGAACAAACCGAUGGACUGGUCCGACAUGAUGAAUCUUUUUGUCGGUAAGGGACAUGUCCGCCGAGCUGCCAUUUACGAUCUAAAGGGGAAGUGUAUGGCCGCAAGUGAGGAUCCAAACAUUCCACAAGACGAAAUCAUUUCUAUUGUUCGGUGUUUAAGUGAAAACUAUGUGGUGUUAAAUAAACCAAUAUUUGCUUUGUUUUUCGGAGAGGAAAGGUACGUUUGUUUCCGGGCGACUCCCAAUACCAUUGUGGGGCGCACUGCCAAGGAUUUCUUUGUCGCUUAUCGCUGUGACGAUUUUGUAAUUGUUGCAUUUGCAGACAUUGUCGUUAAUCCGAAGUUUUCGUGCAUUGGUGAGGUGUGGACCUUCGGAAACGAAAUCCGAUCAAGAAUGGAGAUUUCUGCUUUUAUCGGUUGAGGGCUUGUUUUGUGACAACGCCGCAUUCUUUGCCACUUGAAAUUAUCACAUACUUUCGUUUGUAUUUUGAGGAAGAAAAAACAGCUUUGUUGAUAUUUUUUCUUGUUGUAGUUUCACAAAGAUCACCAAAAGUGUUAAAAAUUUUUGGAGCAUUGUUACUUGGAUAGUAUUGUAGAUGCAUCUGUUUCCGCAAUCCCCCCCCCCCCCCAUUUGCAAGAAAAAAAACCCUCUAAUAUUUAUUAUGUAUGAUUUUAUGCAAACGUGCAUCACAGUGUAUAAGUGCAUGCCUUGGACUAAUGGAAUACUAUUAUAAACUUAUUACUGCGUACAUGUAUUUUGAGGGUACGGAAUAACAGUGUAUUGGUUUAUAAUAAUGUACAUUCUAGUUUAUACGACGAUAUUUCACUCUUCCAAUGAUAUAUUUUGAAUUGUAUAUAGUUUGCAAUGCAUUGAGUUUUUUUGAAACUUUUUUGUCUAGUUUUCGCAAUUACUAGAAAAUUUUGUGUCACUUGUGCAGUGUUUCUGUAAAUAAUCAUUUUUUUUCUUUCAAAGAUUAAUGCAGACACCAUGUCUCCCUAUAAAAGUUUAAUCCUUAAAUUUUGAAUUCAUUUUUUUUAAAAUUGAGAAUGCAUGCGUAUUUUUCGUAUACAAGUUCUAUUGUACCUUGUACAUUUUAUCAUUUUCUUUUUGAUUUAUAGAUUUUUGCUAAUAUUAUUCGCUUAUAUUAAAUAAAGCCCAAAAAUGCAUUUCCUAUACAUUGUAUUAUACAAAUAGUGCAAUAAUUUGUUACAAACAUACUAGUAUUAUAGAUUAGCCAAACCCCAAGUCUUAUCACCAAAUAAAUUAUGAAUUUCAAAA